CGCUAGCGGGAGCCUUACACAUGCAAGUCGAACGGCAGCACGGACUUCGGUCUGGUGGCGAGUGGCGAACGGGUGAGUAAUGUAUCGGAACGUGCCUAGUAGCGGGGGAUAACUACGCGAAAGCGUAGCUAAUACCGCAUACGCCCUACGGGGGAAAGCAGGGGAUCGCAAGACCUUGCACUAUUAGAGCGGCCGAUAUCGGAUUAGCUAGUUGGUGGGGUAACGGCUCACCAAGGCGACGAUCCGUAGCUGGUUUGAGAGGACGACCAGCCACACUGGGACUGAGACACGGCCCAGACUCCUACGGGAGGCAGCAGUGGGGAAUUUUGGACAAUGGGGGAAACCCUGAUCCAGCCAUCCCGCGUGUGCGAUGAAGGCCUUCGGGUUGUAAAGCACUUUUGGCAGGAAAGAAACGUCAUGGGCUAAUACCCCGUGAAACUGACGGUACCUGCAGAAUAAGCACCGGCUAACUACGUGCCAGCAGCC
rnacentral:rRNA from 1 species